CCUUGUACUAAACAAACAGAAGCUAUUCUCUCUGCCUUCCAAAAGGGACAAUCUCUCUCUCUAAAAGACAACCCCUUUACUUAUAAAUUAACCGAAAACAAAAUGAUCUUUCUUCUUUCAUUUUUUGUGGGAUAUUUUUGUUUAUCGUAUGGACAAUCCCCAGCACCAGAUAUAGUGGUAUCAACUGCUGCACCACUACCAGCUUCAGAUUCAGCUACUGCAGAUAUUCCAACUACCAUAAAAAUUACUCCAAAUCCUGAAACUGAAACUUCACCUUUUCCAGUCUUACUGCCAGUAGUUAUUGGACUGCGGGUGUCCGUCAAAUCCACGGUUGAACUUAAUUUUGUGACAAUUAAGCCAUUUCUACAACAGAUCGUAAAUUUUCUUUCACCAUAUCAUGGACCCUUUCAAAUCACUGUGAAAAAUAUAUCGCGCAUCACACCAACCUAAACAACAUUAAUAAUAACAGGAUAACAACACAGCAUUUGUAAUUAGUGUAAUGUAGUCAUGUGAAUUAAAUUGUAAUACAUUUUGUUUUUUAUUUAUGCAAAUCAAAAUAUUAAUAACACAUUAUUGCCUUACUACUGCAUACAUUAUUAUAUUGGCUAUAUGUUUUUAUACAUUCAUUUAUAUAGUAUAAGGUAGGCUCAAAAUGACUAAUUUUAUUUUAUGACCCACUGUCAAACAUGCUAAAUCAUAAAUUACAGAAAUAAUGGGCUUGAUACAAAAUCAUAUGUAAAUUGGACAGACUCCAUUAUUAUAAGAAACUGUAUAAUGUCUACAUUCUACUUGCUAUGAACAUACCCUUUUUCUUUCUUUUUUUGUGGCCACAAAAAAUGUAAUUCCAGGAUGACUAGACCAUCAGCUCCUGUCAUUAUUGUUUCUUUUGGGUGUGUCCUAGUCAUCCAACAAUGAACACAAUUCAUGCUCACUGAAAUGGAAAUUCAACUACAUGUAAAAAGAUCAAUCCCAAAGCAAUCUCCAGACAAUUGAGUAUCUUUAUAGGCUAAACCAUUUUCAAACUUAAAAACAAUUAUUGAAUAUGGCUCUAUAUGAAAUGUAGUUUUAAUAUGUUUAUUUCUUCUAUCCUGUCAGGAGCAAAGUUAUUUUUUUUAUACAUUUGGAAUAACAUCCAUGAGUAUUUGGAGAAAAGAAACAAGACUACAUCAGUUCCUUUUAGGAAUGGUUGUGUGUGUUAAAUCUGGGACACGUUCAACAUUUUAGAUUGUGGUCACAUCCUUUUAACACCAUAUAUAUUUACUGAUUCAUUUUGUGAAUGCUGUCAUUUUUCUCUGCUUGUGUGUGCAUGGUCCAUAAAUUCAUUAUGUGUAAUAUGGUCUGUUGUAUUGCACAUAGCAAUGUAGGUCUAACUGUCUUGAUUAUGGAGGUGUGGUUAAAUGAACCACAGCUAAGAGGUUUUGGUGGGUGGUUACAUUAUUGCACAUGGUGAACAGAACACUAUCACUACCCUCUGAGGAAAAUCCAAGGGCCAAAACGUUUGCAUUUCAUUUUUGACCACCGUUUUUGUACCCGUGGGAGUGAAUAAAACUUGUUUUAAUCGCAUAUUCUGCACAUCUACAUUGUGUGGGUCUUUUUGUAACCGAACAAGUGAUUUCUACUGGCCUACACAGUAACCAACGCCAAAUUUUAUAGGGCGUGGUGAGUUUGUUAAUUUGCCCAAAUAUGCCGGUCACACUUUGGCAUUCAGCAUAUGUUCUUAUCUAGAGAAACACAGUUUCAGUUAUUUUUUUUCCUUUUUGGUGCCGUUAUACAGCUGGAUAAAUGCCAAAUAAAGGGUGCUCAAGUGUAUCUAACAGUAUCCAAUAUGGAAAGUGAAUGUAUGACUUAUGUUCAUUUCAAUUUGAGAAUUCACCUUUUCUUUCUUUCUUUCAAAAUUCUUCUUAUUGAAUUUCACAGGGUGGAACCUCACAGAUGGCAGUAGUCAAUGCCAUUAUUAAGCGAUGAUGGACAAAGCGUAUCCAGUUUAUCAUAUAUUAUGUUUACAUGGACAGUGCCAAUAAUAAUCAGCAAAUAUCUCAACAUGGCAUUUGUAAGAGAAAGUUUCAACAAAUAGUGGCAGAAAAAUGCAAAUAAGUUUAACCCAUUCAGUCGCACAGGCUUGUAUUCAGUUCAGAGUGGGUUUAUUUGCAUUCAUUCAAUUUUUUUACAGUGAAAUUUCCAACCAAUCUAGUCACAUGAUACGCUUUACUGUAUAUACUACUAUAUAAUCUAUUUUACACUGCCAAUGUUUUAAUGACAAUGGUUUCUAAUUUUGUAACAUGUGGGGUUCUCACCUUCUGUGCAUUUUGGAAAUCCACAGAUGACACAAUUCACAGUAAAACCAGUAUCCUUAUCAUGGCAAGGAUUUAGUGAACAAAAUCCAUAGUACGUUUAGUCCCAAAACAUUAACUCAAAGAAACAUUUAAUGUCUUGUUUACUUAGCAAUUCUCCAGAGGAAUUAUCAAUUUUGUCUGUUUUGCCAUUGCAUACACACCAGAAGUAUUGAGUACAUAGGAAUGUUAUUAUCUCCAGUUUGUAUAGACACUCUGAAAUAAGUGGCAUGCUAUUAUAGCAACGACAGUGAAUCAUUUUAACCAAUGACAAUGUUCCUUAAGGUGUAUUGGUUGUUAGGCUCACAUAAAAGACACGCAUUGUUUCUCCUGCGUAAAAAAACCAUAACCUUUUUGGCAUGCUGAAAAUGUUACACACUGGCAAAAAAGUCCUUGACACUUUACGCCUGAAAAGGCUGUGGUUUUACAACAAUAAUUUAUUUUGCAAUGCCUAAGUCUAAACAGAAGACUCGCCAUUUGGACACCUUGGAAGAAAUCACUCAUUGGAGUGAAUAUUUCUGAAGAGGACAGUGAAAACGGCUUUGACUCCACAGCAGAGGACAUGUUCAAUGAAGGACUUGAUCCCAUUUUAUAUUGGUGAGCAUCUAAAUAUAUUCUCAAAAUACUUUUUUGUUCAAUACACUUGUAAAUAAGGAGUAGGCCUGAUUCUGAAUAAUAAUUGUGGUGUGUGAAAUUGUGGGAUGUGUGUGACAUUAUACUUGUUCCUAUAGCACUUUCAUGUUACACAUUUACCUGUGCCACUUUCUUGUUACAUGUACCUCCAUCCAGCACUUAUAUUGUACUUUGUAUGAUUAUCUUGAUGUUGUAGCUUGUCAUGCCUCCUAGUUUUCCUUAGCAUAGGCUAGGUCAGAGAGUAAGGUUUACUGUGUGAACUGGACUUAAUGUGUUCAUGGCUAUGAAUAACUGUUACAAAAUGAGUAUUGUACCUUAUCAAACCUGUGCCUUGUAGUUAUUCCACUGACCUUCGGUAUGCACUUAUUGUACAUCGCUUUGGAAAGAAGUGUCUGCCAAAUAAAUGUAAUGUAACAUGUUGAUGGGGGUGGGGUAUUUGAAAUGCAGGGGGAAAGUCUUCCACAAGCAUACAGUAGUA